GUGAAAUUGUUGAAAGGGAAACGCUUGAAGUCAGUCACGUUUGCUUGGAUUCAGCCUUACUUCGGUUUGGUGCAUUUCCUCGCCGACGGGCCAGUGUCCAUGUUGUUUGCCGGAGAAGGGGUGAAGGAAUGUGGCUCCUUCGGGAGUGUUUAUAGCCUUCAUUCGCAUGCGGGGAGCGAUAUGGAGUGAUACAGCACGCUUUCUUGUGGUGCUUGUACUGGCAUAAUGGCUUUAAACGACCCGUCUUGAAACACGGACCAAGGAGUCUAACAUGUCUGCGAGUGUUUGGGUGGAAAACCCGAGCGCGUAAUGAAAGUGAAUAGCUGGGAACCCCUUUGGGAGGCACCGGCACCCCGAGCUGACCUUUUGUGACGCAUCGGAGGUAGAGCAUAUAUGUUGGGACCCGAAAGAUGGUGAACUAUGCCUGAAUAGGGCGAAGCCAGAGGAAACUCUGGUGGAGGCUCGUAGCGAUUCUGACGUGCAAAUCGAUCGUCAAAUUUGGGUAUAGGGGCGAAAGAUUAAUCGAACCAUCUAGUAGCUGGUUCCUGCCGAGGUUUCCCUCAGGAUAGCAGAAACUCGUAUCAGUUUUAUGUGGUAAAGCGAAUGAUUAGAGACCUUGGGGAUGAAACAUCCUUAAUCUAUUCUCAAACUUUAAAUAUGUAAGCUCAGGAUGCUUGCUUAAUUGAAGCACCUGUAAAUGAGAGUUUCUAGUGGGCCAUUUUUUGUAAGCA
rnacentral:rRNA from 1 species